rnacentral:tmRNA from 1 species
GGGGAUGACUUGGUUUCGACAGGGAGGUUGGAGUUUCCGGCUGCAUGCCGAGGCGCCGCUGGCCUCGUAAAAAGCGGCAAAACAAGAAACGCAAAUAACGAUUUUGCAUUGGCAGCUUAGUUAGCUUGCCCGUCCGUCUGCGGUUUGUCCGCGGCCACAGUCCGGGCGUUAAUCAGCGGAAUAGCGACUUGAGCCUUUUCGCAGGGCGAGGGAAGCGAAAUCAAUUGCGAAAAAGCGCAAAGGAUCCUGCUGCUGGGAGCCUGAGCGCUGAUUAAAACAGACAGCUAAGCACGUAGAUGCCCGAUUUUCCCCCUUUUUGGACGCGGGUUCGAUUCCCGCCAUCUCCACCA